ACCUCAUAAUUUGGGCAUUAGGAUAAUUUUCCAUUAAACCUUUCCCAUACUUCAAACAAUGGCACCCCAUUCAUUUGCCAAAAAUUCACAAUCUCAUCCCGCUUUUGAAGUU
rfam:Capsicum annuum cultivar Zunla-1 chromosome 3, whole genome shotgun sequence